UCUUUUCUUUCUUUUUCUCUUGGAAGGAUAUGGACUUCUUUCUCACGCACAAGACUUCUCACGCCCUAGAAUUUUUCUUCAAAAAUCUUCUUCUUACAUGCCCCACUCUUCUCCUCCUUUUAUAACAACAUCAAAUAUCUUAUCCAAAAGAAAAGAUAAAGAUGAGUAAUUGCACAUUUGAAUUCAAAUCAAAUUUUGAAUUCAAAUGGACACCAACUCAUCCCUUA
rnacentral:lncRNA from 1 species